CAAGACUUUGCAAGACGUUGCCCAAUGUUCGCAAUGUGUCUUUCCCAUAAAGGAAGAAGCUGAAAUGUGUCACAAACCUUAAAAUUCCCGAAAAUGAAGCUGUUGCAUUGGUUAUGAAGAUGGUGUGUGCUGAUGUUGUUCUGAACUGCCUGGCGGAGCUGGCUGCCAUAUCUGAUGUUCUUAAAAGGAGUCCAAACUUCCCAGUCUGGAACCUGAGACUGACAGAAAUGACCUCUCUCCAAAUCUCUUUCUAGCCCGAACUCUUGGGCCAUUUCCUAC